CCCUGACCGGCGUGGGAAGGGACACAGCUCUGGCUGUAACUCAGGCCUUCCCACGACCAGGGUCAACCCAGCACUCCAGCUUCCCAGGACCAGGCCUCCCUGAGGCCCCCCGUGGUCGCAAGCUCCUCAUUGGCUGCCUGAUGCUGUAUGCAUACCUGCCACCAGACUCUCCUGAGACCCUCUGAUGCCUUCAGGUGGGUGAAUUUUUUUUAACUCCUCUGUAGUCCAGCUGUGAAAAUAAGUCCAGUAAUUGGAGGAAGCCCUGCACACUCUGUCCUGCUCUUAUUCAUGCACAGACGACAUGAACAUAUUAAGGUUCUGAGAAGUCCUGCAAUUUCCCAAAGCGUCAUGGUCCCCAUUUGACACAGUGAGUGCUCCCCAGACAGAAGGUGGGUGCCUCCUCAGACAGUCCCUGUGCCUUUGGGACAGCCCACUUUCCCCUCCCCCCGCUGCCCAGAGUGGAUGCUUUGGCCUCUUCUCAAAGCACUGGGCAGGUCUCAAUGAGCUGGCUGAGGAGCACUUGUGUGAUGUGGGGGAUGAUGCCUGUUUGACUCACAGAGAGACAGAGACAAAAGGAGAUCAGGUGAUGAAGAAAUUCAAACCCAGAGCCAGUGAGUCAGAGUCUCACCCCCAGCCUGUCCUUGACCUGGGCAUCCCCUCACAAGCCUGGCUGAUGCCAAUAUCCUAAGGGUUAUCAGUAAUUAGAAUAUCUCACCCGGGACCCCUGACCACUGAUUUCAGGCCCCUCCCGGGCUGCGUGUUCUGCUCAGGCAGGACUGCUGACUCAGACGCAGGCCACACCAGCGCCCAAAGCAACUCUAGAGAUCUUCCAUCCUGUCUAGUUCUUUCAUGUCAGCUGGAAUUGCUUGGCAAUGACUUCCUGGAGAGAGCACUGUUGAUUCUGACUCUUGUCUGAUUCAGGGCUCAGCUCAGCAGACAGGUAAUGCUAUGAUCCAUUGGUAAUAUCUGCCAUGGUUGGAAAGGAAAGAGUGGUGGGUUUGCCCCAAAUUAACAUCCUGGCUCUAGUCUGUGGGUCAGUUCAGAGGUCCCUCCUGGAGUUGGGGGCAGCCUAUGAGAGGGAGCUGGGCUCUACAGUUUAUAAAGGGAGCUGAGACAUGAAGGAGACAGUUGAGGGCACAACCAUCAGGUAGCACCUUGUCCAAGCCAGCCUCAGCCUGCCUGCCACUCCCACAUCCUCCUUCGCAGAAGCAGUCGUGUCGGUCCCACGUGACCCCUACCUCCCUGGUUGUAGCCGACUGGACCAUGGGUGGGGACCCAGUCUAUAGGCUGAUUCACCAGCCUUUGAGGUAGCCUGGUGGGAAAAUUAACUGCACCAAGUAGAUCCUCUUGGGGAAUGUGAAUUGAAGGCAGAGAGAACAGUGGACGGCAAAAACCGAAGCUGAUCAACAAACAGAAGUGCAGAGAGAGAGAGGAGAGAAGCUGCGUGGGGUUAAUGAUACACCCUAGAGUGACAACCUCCCAAUUCCUACAGCUGACACACCAGCUCUGGGAGUCGCCUUUGGUGAGGCUAUGGGAGGGCAAAAGCCAUGCUUGCUGGUUUAUCAAUAAUCAGGUCCCUAUAACCCACCGAAUCUGUUUCUGGCCAAAGGGGUUUUUCAGUCUCCAAGGGAUGGGCUGUCAGGGUGGGCUCCAGAGGGCAGGUCUGUGAGAUAGUGGGUGAGCACCCUGCUGGUGACACUUGCUCUCACUUGCGGGGUCUAGUAAAAUCUCUUGAGGGUGGGGAAAUGGGCCUUCAGAGGACAUGUGUGAAUUCAUCAUGGGUUGCAGCCUGGUUUUAGCCUUGCAUUACUUCAAUAAACAUUGAUAAUGAUCAGAUAAGAGCCUGGGCUCACCAUCCAGAUCCCUUGGAUUUGCCACUUACCAACAGUGUGACUUUGGGCAACUCAUGUCAACUCCCUGUGCCUCCUGUUGGUGGGAAUGUAAACUGAUCCAGCCACUAUGGAGAACAGUAUGGAGGUUCCUCAAAAAACUAAAAAUAGAACUACCAUGUGACCCAGCAAUCCCACUACUGGGCAUAUAUCCAGAGAAAACCAUAAUUCAAAAAGACACAUGCACCCCAAUGUUCACUGCAGCACUAUUUACAAUAGCCAGGUCAUGGAGGCAACCUAAAUGCCCAUCAGCAGACGAAUGGAUAAAGAAGAUGUGGUACAUACAUACGAUGGAAUAUUACUCAGCCAUAAAAAGGAACGAAAUUGGGUCAUUUGUAGAGACGUGGGUGGAUCUAGAGAUUGUCAUACAGAGUGAAGUAAGUCAGAAAGAGAAGAACAAAUAUCGUAUAUUAACGCAUAUAUGUGGAACCUGGAAAAAUGGUACAGAUGAACCGGUUUGCAGGGCAGAAAUAGAGACACAGAUGUAGAGAACAAACGUAUGGACACCAAGGGGAGAAAGUGACAGGGGUGGUGGUGUGACGAAUUGGGAGAUUGGGAUUGACGUAUAUACACUAAUGUGUAUAAAAUAGAUAAGUAAUAAGAACCUGCUGUAUAAAAAUAUAAAUAAAAUAAAAUUCAAAAAAAAUUAAAGAUUUUGGAAAAAAAAAAAACUCCCUGUGCCUCAGUUUCCUCAGCUGUAAAACGGGGGCAAUGAUGGCACCUGACAGGGUUGCUGCGAGGGAUUAAAGUAAGGACUGGCACAGAGUAAGGGCUACUAAAUGUCAGGCUCUGUGCUGGGUGUUGAAGGUACCAAGUGGAUUUGUCUCUUGCCCCCAUGGAGCAUAGAGUCUAGAAUUCAGUGGCCACUGGGGGACCCUGCCCACCUGUGACCUCUGUGCUGUGGGGCAACUGGUCUUUUCUGGGCCUGAUGUCAGCCAGCCCUGGUGAGACUGACAUCUGCCCCCACACGUCUAGUCCUGCUUCUGCCCUCCUGGCCAGGCCUGGCAGUGGCAGAGCCUGUGCCCAAGGGGAGGGAGGCAUUCAGGGCUGGGAGGCAGGAAGGAGAAGCACUAACAUCCCCUGGAGCCGUCAUGGGGGUUCCCUCUACUGAGUGGCCACUGUGUGGCAGACAACAUGCGAUAGACAUCCCUGUAUUCAUUUCCUAGGGCUGCGGUAACAAAGUACCACAGACUAGAGGCUUGAAACAACAGGAAUUUAUUUUCUCACAACUCCUAAGGCCAGAAGUCCAACAUCAAAGCGACAUUUGGGCCAUGUUCCUUCCAAAGGCCCUAGGGGAGAACCCUUCCUUGCCUCUUCCAGCGUCUGGUAGCUUCUGGCACUCCUUGGCUUGUGGCAGCGUCAUUCCAAUCUCUGCCUCGGUCUUUACACAGCCUUCUCUCUGUGGAUAUUUGUGUUUUGUCUCUGUGUCCAAAUUUCCCUUAAGGACACCAGUUGUAUUAGAUUUAGGGACACCCCCUAAUCCACUAUGACCUCAUCUUAGCUGGAUUACAUCUGCCAAGACGCUUUUUCCAAAUAAGGUCACCUUCACAGCUUCCCGUGGAUGUAAAUUUUUUUUUUUUUGCCACACCAUGCGGCUUGCCGGACCUUAGUUCCCUGCCUAAGGCAACAGGGAUUGAACCUGUGCCCCCUGCAAUGGAAGCAGAUUUCUAACCACUGGGCCACCAGGAAAUUCCUCCGUGGAUGUAAAUUUUAAGGGGACACUAUUCAACCCAGUAAAAUCCCUUAGCCACCACCUAUCAGAGUGAAUUUGGUGUUAUUUCCCCCAUUUUACAAACGCGAAAACUAAGGCACAGACCAGCCCAAGGCCAUACGGCAAGGUGGACUUCAAACCCAGCUCUCUGACCUACAAGAGGCCUCUGAGUUCCUAAUGGUGACCAGACGCUAGGGCUCUGGAGGAGAAACUGGAGCUACACGUAUGAGGAAGAAGGAAGCAACAACAGGAAAUUCCUUCUCAGGGCAAUGUCCAAGGCUGCUGAAGCUCAGGGACUGGACUUCAGCCUCCCAGCCCUCCUCCCCUCUUUCUGUAACCCCAGAACCCUCAGCCCUUCCCAGCAACAGGCAGGAAGCAGCUUAGCCUGAUGCUCCGCCGAGGUCUGUGCUGUGCUGAUCUGGCCCGAAUAAGCCAGCAGCAGCUCAGGGGGCAAAGUUGGAAGGAAUGUUUAUCUGGGGCCAGCAGAAGGGAGAGGGCUGGAGCCCACAGCCAGAGCCACUUGCCUGGGAAGGGCCCCCCUUUCGUGUGUGUGUGUGUGUGUGUGUGUGUGUGUGUGUGUGUUGGUCGAAGGCCCUGUUGCCUGUCCUGGGGCCCUGCCAGAGCUGGGACAGCUGCUGAUUCUGAUCACAGGAGUAUGUUCCUCAGGGAGGGAGGCCCCUUAGAGAUAUCCCAGCCCAAGGGUAUCAAAUAAAUGUCAGGUCUACCACCAUACUCCCUUCCUCUGAAUCCUCCUCAACACAGUGCCCGCCAGAGCUACUGUCUAUCAACUGGAGCUGGCAGAAGAGUUAAAAACUGCCCUGUGUUUCCAGUUCCAGACCCAGGAGUCUCAGCCUCAGUGAUACCUUCCCGAGGGGUUGAAAAGCAUCCUCUAGAUCCUACAACUUGAAGAGAGAAGCAGGCCAGUUCUCCCAGUCCGGGUCCCAGGCUCUUUUUCCUUACACUCACACUUAGUACCCAGGGUGACAUCCAAGCCUUCCUGUCCUCCCACUCCCUGUGAAUCAUUCCUGGCCGCUACCAAGAACCAGGCUUCACAGCUGUUGCUGUUGCACCCUGGUGCUGGCAUCUGAGGACAGCUGCUGCUGCUGCAGGGCCCACCCCGCCCCCAGGGCAGCUGGUCUGCGUGACAGGAAAGCGCUGAAUGGUUCUGAAGUACAGGUGCUGACAAUCCAGCAGCAAACAAGACAGAUGCAAUCCCCUGCCUCAGAGAUGGAAACAGGCACUGAACAAACAUCUAAUCAUGUUGAGAAGAAGACUCCUUAUGAAUGAACUAUCAGAGA